rnacentral:rRNA from 1 species
AAGUGAGAAUGCCGGUGUGAGUAACGUAAGGAAGGUGAGAAUCCUUCCCACCGAUCGACCAAGGGUUCCAGGGUAAAGUUCGUCUUCCCUGGGUUAGUCAGGAACUAAGGUGAGGCUGAAAAGCGUAGCCGAUGUACAACUGGUUUAUAUUCCAGUACUUCCUUUAUGAGUGAUGGAGUGACGGAGAAGGAUAGCAAGAGCCUAUUAUUGGAUUUAGGUUUAAGCGCUUAGGUUUGUGCAUUAGUAAAUCUGUGACACUAAUAUACUGAAACGUGAUGACGUCGGUGUCUUCGGACACUUAAGUCUUGUGAUUCCAUGCUUCCAAGAAAAGCUUCUAAACUUAUCAUAUUGGAACCUGUACCCAGAACCAACACAGGUGGUCAAGAAGAGUAUUCUAAGGUGAGCGAGAUAACUAUGGUUAAGGAACUCGGCAAAAUUACCCCGUAACUUAGGGAUAAGGGGAGGUCAAGCGAUUGACCCGCAGUGAAUAGGCCCAGGCGACUGUUUACCAAAAACACAGGUCUCUGCUAAAGCGCAAGCUGAUGUAUAGGGGCUGACGCCUGCCCAGUGCUGGAAGGUUAAGAGGAUUAGUUAGAUGGACGUAUGUCGAUAACAUCGAAGCUUUGAAUUGAAGCCCCAGUGAACGGCGGCCGUAACUAUAACGGUCCUAAGGUAGCGAAAUUCCUUGUCAGGUAAGUUCUGACCCGCACGAAAGGUGUAACGAUCUGGGCGCUGUCUCAACCAUAGACUCGGUGAAAUCUUAAUACCUGUGAAAAUGCAGGUUACCCGCGACAGGACGAAAAGACCCCAUGGAGCUUUACUGUAGCUUGAUAUUGGGAUCAGGUAAUUCUUGUAGAGGAUAGGUGGUAGACUUUGAUGCUUAGACGCCAGUUUAUGCGGAGUCGCCCUUGGAAUACCACCCUUGAAUUAUUUGAUUUCUAACUUGCAACCGUUAUCCGGUUGGAGGACAGUGUCUGGUGGGCAGUUUGACUGGGGCGGUCGCCUCCUAAAAAGUAACGGAGGCGCCCAAUGGUUCCCUCAGGUUGGUCGGAAAUCAACCAAAGAGCGUAAUGGUAUAAGGGAGCUUGACUGUGAGACCUACAAGUCGAGCAGGUGCGAAAGCAGGGCAUAGUGAUCAGGCGGUUGAGAAUGGAAUUGCCGUCGCUUAACGGAUAAAAGUUACCCUGGGGAUAACAGGCUGAUA